rnacentral:rRNA from 1 species
GGAGUUAGCCGGUGCUUCUUCUGCGAGUAACGUCACAGAUGUAAGGUAUUAACUUACACCCUUUCCUCCUCGCUGAAAGUGCUUUACAACCCGAAGGCCUUCUUCACACACGCGGCAUGGCUGCAUCAGGGUUUCCCCCAUUGUGCAAUAUUCCCCACUGCUGCCUCCCGUAGGAGUCUGGGCCGUGUCUCAGUCCCAGUGUGGCUGAUCAUCCUCUCAGACCAGCUAGGGAUCGUCGCCUAGGUGAGCCUUUACCUCACCUACUAGCUAAUCCCACCUGGGCUUAUCCAUCAGCGCAAGGCCCGAAGGUCCCCUGCUUUCCCCCGUAGGGCGUAUGCGGUAUUAGCAGUCGUUUCCAACUGUUAUCCCCCACAAAUGGGCAAAUUCCCAGGCAUUACUCACCCGUCCGCCGCUCGUCAUCUUCAAAAGCAAGCUUUUGAAAUGUUACCGCUCGACUUGCAUGUGUUAGCUGCCGCCACGCGUCAUACUGAGCGAGAGUACAACUACUGA